rnacentral:lncRNA from 1 species
GCAGGGGGUGUAACAGAUUGACAGCGACGUCUGUAACCGCCUAGUAGUGGGUCGUUCGGGGCCAUGAGGAGUUUGUUACGGAGAGUAGUGGAGUGGAGUCGUGGCCAUCAUCGUGGCCUGCCACAUGGAGACUGUUGGGGAGAGUGGAGUGAUGUCCAUUGUUGUGACUUGCCAGAGCAUGAUGGAGCCACGUGGGAUCCGUUAUCGGAAGUGGAGCAGAGUCGUGGCCAUUACUGUGGCCUGCCACGGAGUCCAGGCCCGUCGGUCAAAGCUCGGUUGGGGUGUCUGGUGGAGAGGGGUAGCUCUCCGUCUAAGAGGAGCUCGGAUGUUGCUGGCGAGCCUUCUACCGUUGGGUGUCUUGAGUGCUAGUACUGCGGGUGAAGGUCAUCUGCUGUAGAAGCUCGGUCAGGGGUUUUCCAUGGACGAGGUUCGAUUUCAUGCAGAAUCUGAUAGAAGGUCGACCGACAGUGGAUGUCGGAUGAUGCUGGAGAGAUUUACCCACUGGAGGGGUCCGGCUACUGGAGCCCGUGUGUCGUAGGAGUUCGUCCGAAAUCUGUCCGCUACAGAAGCUCGGUC